rnacentral:lncRNA from 10 species
CAUAGCUUGACUAAAGACUGUUUAAGGUGAUUCUGGUGAACACUCAGGAAGAAAAGGGGAGGCAUGGAGGAAGGCUCUAUCAUCUUAGACAAUACAUCUGUCACCAUGCAUGGGAUGCUGGUAGAAACGUGGACGGUAAAGGCCAUUCUGGGGAGAUCUCAGACGGAAAUGAAGAAUGUGUUUUUGGAAGCUGGAGGAAAGGCGAUUUUCUUUGUGGCCUACCUGCACCGUAUUCAGAAGUUGGAGAAUCAAUAAGGACCAGGUGUUUAAUCGCGAAAGGAAGUGCCUCAGGCUGUGGCUGGCGUUUGAAGGGCUGCUCCACACAUAUCAAUCAUCCUUUGACAAGAUCUGGAAGGAAAAAAAAACAACAACAAAAGCCACCCCCCAAAAAGGCGACUACUGAGAACAGAAUGUCCCUUCAUAUCCAAUACGGUAUCAGCCCUGACAUCUCUUAAAUACAGGUAAGCCUCAAUUCGUGAAAUCUGAAAUCCAGAUCCAGAACAUAAUACCAGUAAGCCAAAUUCUUAUAAUGAAUUAUAUCAGUAUAACCUAUCAGUUAUGUAAAAUAUUACAUAUAGUCUCUAUAAUUAUAUACUGCUUAUUAUAAUUAUGAAUUUCAUCACUUUACUUUAACUUCAGAAAUUAACCUCCAAUUAGAAGUAGUUUUCAUUGUAUAUUUUUUCAUGUUUCUUUGCCCUAACUUCUUUAUGAGGUUAAAGAUCUAUGUACAUCAACAAGUAUAUGAACUUUAAAGUAGGGAGUCCUGUUUUAAUGUAAAAACUACCAUCCACAUCUCACAUUAUUACAAAUGAAAGAAAAAUGGAAACAUUGUUUUUUUUCAGUUUCAUUUUUGAUUAUUUUUCCCUCGGUCACUUUUAGAUAUUCAUAAAUGUCUUAAUUAUCAUGGUAUACUCCUUUGGGAAAGAAAAAGAAUCUAGCAUGUUUUAGUUCUACUCAGAAAACAGUAACUUUUUUGCCAUUCAAUCCAAUUUUCAACCACAUUAUAUAACGUAUCUGAUACAUGAGAAGUGUAAAAGGCAUUUACGAAUGUUCCUGCCAUGUUUUUCAGUGGAAUAGAAGGUCUGUGAGAGCGGGGGCAUUUUCUAUCCUGUUCUGAGACUUUAAUAGUGGUCUACAACCAUGCUACUAAUCUGGCAUGCAGUGGAAACUUAAUAAAUGUCUGCUGAAUGAUUAAACCAACACAACAAGCUUCACUUCUAAUAAAUGACAUAACAUUAGCAGAUAAUGGCUUUUUUUUUUUUUUUUUUCUGAAUUAGAGAUUGACAGAAAAUAAUAAAGUACCUACCUUUAAAUCUUUCAGGUAUCAUGGGGUUGUUAGUUUUCAGUAGUAGAAAU